UGUAAUAAGUGUGUAGACACAGGGCAUAAUGCACACAUUAUAAAGUUCUUAACGAUUUGAUUUGAUUUAAUUGCCUAUUGAUGAAACCACAGAAAACGUAUUUAAUGCCCCCUCAAUUGUACAUGGAUCAUUAGUGAUCUACCGUGAUGAAACAUAUUUAAUUUUAACGGUUUUAUAUAAAAAUACAAAUUAUUAAUAUUAAGGAAACUGCCAUAAAUUCUUCUACAAUAUGCGAAAUAUAUAAAAAGCUCAAUAAGGGACCUGUUUCGCAGUAUCAGUGCAUCACAGCUUUGCACAGUUACUAAAGAACCUGAAACAAAAUAUCGAAUAAUAAUGCAGAAGCAAAUGUUGGUUUUGCUUAUAGCCGUGUUGGCUAUUCAGCUGGUAGCUGCGCAACGUAGGUCUCGUUGGGGGUCACCACCAAUAGAACCGAAUUGGGGCUGAAUUUGUUGAACAAUUUGAAAGAGAACUUAAAGUGCAAUGUAAUUAUAAUAAUAAAAUGUAAUUGUAAUAAUAAAAUGCAAAAUAAACGUUUUACGAAAUAUU